rnacentral:rRNA from 1 species
GACGAACGCUGGCGGCGUGCUUAACACAUGCGAGUCGAACGGAAAGGCCCUGCUUUUGUGGGGUGCUCGAGUGGCGAACGGGUGAGUAACACGUGAGUAACCUGCCCUUGACUUUGGGAUAACUUCAGGAAACUGGGGCUAAUACCGGAUAGGAGCUCCUGCUGCAUGGUGGGGGUUGGAAAGUUUCGGCGGUUGGGGAUGGACUCGCGGCUUAUCAGCUUGUUGGUGGGGUAGUGGCUUACCAGGGCUUUGACGGGUAGCCGGCCUGAGAGGGUGACCGGCCACAUUGGGACUGAGAUACGGCCCAGACUCCUACGGGAGGCAGCAGUGGGGAAUAUUGCACAAUGGGCGGAAGCCUGAUGCAGCAACGCCGCGUGCGGGAUGACGGCCUUCGGGUUGUAAACCGCUUUCGCCUGUGACGAAGCGUGAGUGACGGUAAUGGGUAAAGAAGCACCGGCUAACUACGUG